rnacentral:lncRNA from 10 species
GUAUUAUUAUCAUUUUCUUCAUUGACUGGUAGUGUUGGAAGAUAUAGAUUAAAGUAAGUAUUUUUUAAAAAACUGUUGUAAAGAAUGGGCAUGUGAAACUUUAUGAUCUGGGUGUCUUUCCGAUGAGGUGACAUUUAAGCUGUGAACUGACGGGAUAUGGAGUCACCCAUAGAAAUAAGAGAAAUAAGCAUUCCAGAUAGGCUUUGAAGUGGGGAAGGAAGGUUACUAUGCGUUCAAUGAAAUGAGAAGAGUGGGAAAUGGGAAGUAGGAUAAGAAUGUUUAAAGGCAGGGGCUUCUGGCAAGUAUGACUGGAUUUUAAUCAACGUUUAAUCACAAUUACUUGAAAUUCAAUGAGCAUUACUUGAAUACCGGGUAAUAUUCAAAACAUUAACAACCAAUACAGCAAAGGAAUCAACCCAUUGGGAUAUAUAAAUUGAUCAAUCAGAAUAAUCACCAUUUGCAAACAGCUGAUACAAUUGAAUUGGUGUACACGUUGAUUAUCAGUCCUGGUUGAAUAAAUGCCAUUUGAGAUCAGCAUUUCCCAAAGUGUGUUCUUUAGAAUGCUAGUUCAGUGGGAUAUAACUAAGUAUUAACAUUAAAAGAAGAAAAAUGUUCUCAGGGUCAAUUAAGUCUGGAAAAUUCCCUUUCAACUUUUUACAUAUUUACAGUAGAACUUUUGUCUUUAAUAUGCAAACAUGCAUUAAAUUAUUUAAGAGAGGCUGGGUGUGGUGGCUCAUGCUUGUAAUACCUGCACUUUGGGAGGUGGAGGUGGGUGAUCACCUGAGGUCAGGAGUUCAAGACCAGCCUGGCCAACAUGGUGAAACCGUCUCUACUAAAAAUAUAAAAUCAGCCAGGUGUGGUGGUGUGCACCUACUUGGGUGGCUGAGGUAGGAGAAUCACUUGAACCUGGGAGAUGGAAGUUGCACUGAGCUGAGAUUGUGCCAAAACUACAAAAUUAGCUGGGUGUGAUAGCAUGCAUCUGUAGUCCCAGCUACUGGGGAGGCUGAGGCAGGAGAAUCACUUGAACUUGGGAGGCAGAAGUUGCAGUAAGCCGAGAUCGUGCAACACUGCACUCCAGCCUGGGCAACAGAGCGAGACUCUGUCUCCAAAAAAAACAAAGAAAAAAAAAGAGAGAGAGAGAGAGAGAACUACAGCACACAAUUUAGAAAACUUAUUUCAUCACAGCAAUAACCUUCCACCUGCCUAGUAUCUCACUACAAUAAACAUGCUGAAACAGGCUGCCUUAGACAUUACUUUUUAUUAUCUCUCUUAUCCAUUAGUCUCUUCCCCAACUUCGUUAGCCUUUCUUCUGGCUCCCAUCAUUUUUUGCCUGGACUAUUUUAGGUCCCCCUAAUUAAUCUCCAACUUACUCAAUUUAUCCACUAUACCAUGACAAUUAUCUUUCUAAAACUGAUACUGAUUAAAUUGUUCAAUAUACAUGCAUCCAAUAACAAUUUUCAAAAACCAAAAUAAAGACUUAAUACAGCAUACAAGAACACUCCUGAUCCCACCACCCAUCUGCUUCUUCAGCUUCACCUUCUUCAACUUCCUAUCUUUCCAAGUGGCCCACUGGCAAUACCGCAAUUACGCUCUACCCCCAAGUCUGGAAUUCCCUUGUCCCCCUGAACCAAUGAGCAUUCAUUCAUCUUUCAAAACUCAUAUUUUCUACAAAGACUUUCCCAACUACCUACCUCCUUUUCCAGAAAAAUAGGGCAUUCUUUCUGAUGUCCCUAGGUAUAGUAUUAUUGUACUUUCAUAUUAUCUACAGCAACUGUGACUGCUCACUUGAUAAAAAUUUGCCUUAAAAAUAUGUCUAGCCCUUUAAAAUAAUAAUGUACCUAUGUUAAAUUUAACACCGUUGAAAAUUUCAAAAACUGUUACAUUUCACUUAAGGUGAUGUAUUUUGAAUAAUACAAUUCUGACCUGUAAUAUGCAAACUUUGCGGGUUCAGAAGAGGAAAAACUCCUACUUUUUAGUGAUGAAACUUUAGCAAAUUUAGGCUGUAGAAGAUAUCUCAAGACAAUAGGCUGGGGAAAAGUAUACCAUGAAAAAAAUAUAUUUUAUGAUUUUUUAAUACUUAGACAUUACAUUCCGUAUCAAA